GAUGAACGCUAGCUACAGGCUUAACACAUACAAUGGCGGCGACCGGCGGAAGGGUGCGUAACGCGUGAGCAACUUGCCCGUCACAGGGGGGAUAACCGGUGGAAACCGCCGACUAACACCCCGUAACACAUUUCGCCGCAUGGCGAGAUGUUGAAAACUCCGGUGGUGACGGAUAGGCUCGCGUGCCAUUAGCUAGUCGGCGGGGCAACGGCCCACCGAGGCGACGAUGGCUAGGGGUUCUGAGAGGAAGGCCCCCCACACUGGGACUGAGACACGGCCCAGACUCCUACGGGAGGCAGCAGUGAGGAAUAUUGGACAAUGGAGGCAACUCUGAUCCAGCCAUGCCGCGUGAAGGACUAAGGCCCUAUGGGCUGUAAACUUCUUUUGACGCAGAGCAAUAAGGGCCACGCGUGGUCCGAUGAGAGUAUGCGUAGAAUAAGCAUCGGCUAACUCCGUG
rnacentral:rRNA from 1 species